GAUGAAGAACGUAGCGAAAUGCGAUAAGUAAUGUGAAUUGCAGAAUUCAGUGAAUCAUCGAAUCUUUGAACGCAUCUUGCGCUCCUUGGUAUUCUGAGGAGCAUGCCUGUUUGAGUGUCAUUAAAUUCUCAACCGCACUGACUUUGAAUUGGUGUGGCUUGGAUUUGGGGGGAAAAUUGUUGUGGGCUUUUUUGUAUAGUCUGCUCCCCUGAAAUUGAUUAGCGGUACCUUUGUGGAACUGUCUACAGGUGUGAUAAUUAUCUACAUCCUAGACAUCUGCUGGAAUGCUGCUUUCUAAACCUUACUUGUAUUGACAAUCUUGACCUCAAAUCAGGUAGGACUACUCGCUGAACUUAAGCAUAUCAAUAAGCGGAGGA
rnacentral:misc_RNA from 1 species